rnacentral:piRNA from 1 species
UGGAGUCUCACAAGUUUACAUAAUUGUAAU